GCCUGCGGCUCUGGGAAUGCCGGUCUGGGGCUGGUUGUCUAGUGCGGGCGUUCCCGUUCGCGGGGA
ensembl:miRNA MIR6080 microRNA 6080